GAUGAACGCUGGCGGCGUGCCUAAUACAUGCAAGUCGAGCGAACAGAUAAGGAGCUUGCUCCUUUGACGUUAGCGGCGGACGGGUGAGUAACACGUGGAUAACCUACCUAUAAGACUGGGAUAACUUCGGGAAACCGGAGCUAAUACCGGAUAACAUAUUGAACCGCAUGGUUCAAUAGUGAAAGGCGGCUUUGCUGUCACUUAUAGAUGGAUCCGCGCCGUAUUAGCUAGUUGGUAAGGUAACGGCUUACCAAGGCAACGAUACGUAGCCGACCUGAGAGCGUGAUCGGACACACUGGAACUGAGACACGGUCCAGACUCCUACGGGAGGCAGCAGUAGGGAAUCUUCCGCAAUGGGCGAAAGCCUGACGGAGCAACGCCGCGGGAGUGAUGAAGGUCUUCGGAUCGUAAAACUCUGUUAUCAGGGAAGAACAAAUGUGUAAGUAACUGUGCACAUCUUGACGGUACCUGAUCAGAAAGCCACGGCUAACUACGUG
rnacentral:rRNA from 1 species